rnacentral:rRNA from 1 species
AAACCAACUGGGAUUACCUUAGUAACGGCGAGUGAAGCGGUAAAAGCUCAAAUUUGAAAUCUGGUACUUUCAGUGCCCGAGUUGUAAUUUGUAGAAUUUGUCUUUGAUUAGGUCCUUGUCUAUGUUCCUUGGAACAGGACGUCAUAGAGGGUGAGAAUCCCGUUUGGCGAGGAUACCUUUUCUCUGUAAGACUUUUUCGAAGAGUCGAGUUGUUUGGGAAUGCAGCUCAAAGUGGGUGGUAAAUUCCAUCUAAAGCUAAAUAUUGGCGAGAGACCGAUAGCGAACAAGUACAGUGAUGGAAAGAUGAAAAGAACUUUGAAAAGAGAGUGAAAAAGUACGUGAAAUUGUUGAAAGGGAAGGGCAUUUGAUCAGACAUGGUGUUUUGCGCCCUUUGCUCCUUGUGGGCGAGGAUACGCAGCUCACUGGGCCAACAUCAGUUUUGGGAGCAGGAUAAAUCUGUAGGAACGUAGCUUUCUUCGGGAAGUGUUAUAGCCUAUGGGAAUACUGCUACCUGGGA